rnacentral:rRNA from 1 species
GACGAACGCUGGCGGCGUGCUUAACACAUGCAAGUGGAGCGACGAACCGGGGCUUGCCCCGGGGCAAAGCCGCGAACGGGUGAGUAACACGUGGGUAACCCACCUCGAUGACCGGGACAACCCGAGGAAAUUCGGGCUAAUACCGGAUGUGCUCCUUCACCUCAAGGUGAAGGAGGAAAGAUAGCUUCGGCCUUCGCAUCGAGACGGGCCCGCGGCCCAUUAGCUUGUUGGUGGGGUAACGGCCUACCAAGGCUGCGAUGGGUAGCUGGUCUGAGAGGACGAUCAGCCACACUGGGACUGAGACACGGCCCAGACUCCUACGGGAGGCAGCAGUGGGGAAUCUUGCACAAUGCGCGAAAGCGUGAUGCAGCAACGCCGCGUGGGGGAAGAAGGCCUUCGGGUUGUAAACCCCUUUCAGUUGGGACGAAGCUUCGCCGGUUAAUAGCCGGCCGGAGUGACGGUACCUUCAGAAGAAGCCCCGGCUAACUACGUGCCAGCCGCCGCAGUAACAC